rnacentral:rRNA from 1 species
AGAGUUUGAUCCUGGCUCAGGAUGAACGCUGGCGGCGUGCAUAACACAUUCAAGUCGAACGGUGAAGCACCUUCGGGUGUGGAACAGUGGCGGACGGGUGAGUAACGCGUGAGCAACCUGCCGUAUAGUGGGGGAUAACACAGGGAAACUUGUGCUAAUACCGCAUGACACACUGGAAUCGCAUGAUACUGGUGUCAAAGAGAAAUUGCUGUACGAUGGGCUCGCGUAUGAUUAGACAGUUGGCAGGGUAACGGCCUACCAAAUCAACGAUCAUUAGCCGAACUGAGAGGUUGAACGGCCACAUUGGAACUGAGAAACGGUCCAGACUCCUACGGGAGGCAGCAGUGGGGAAUAUUGGGCAAUGGGCGAAAGCCUGACCCAGCGACGCCGCGUGAGGGAAGAAGGUCUUCGGAUUGUAAACCUCUUUCAGCAGGGAAGAACAGAUGACGGUACCUGCAGAAGAAGUCACGGCUAACUACGUGCC